UCUUAAGGAUAAGCAAAGAAAGUGGUUUCUGGGGAUGAAAUCCACUCUUGGUGAAGAUGCUAUGAA
rnacentral:pre_miRNA from 1 species